rnacentral:rRNA from 1 species
UGCAGUCGAACGGCAGCACGGACUUCGGUCUGGUGGCGAGUGGCGAACGGGUGAGUAAUAUAUCGGAACGUAUCCAAUAAUGGGGGAUAACUAAUCGAAAGGUUGGCUAAUACCGCAUACGCCCUACGGGGGAAAGCUAGGGACCUUCGGGCCUAGCGUUAAUGGAGCGGCCGAUAUCUGAUUAGCUAGUUGGUGGGGUAAAGGCCCACCAAGGCGACGAUCAGUAGCUGGUCUGAGAGGACGACCAGCCACACUGGAACUGAGACACGGUCCAGACUCCUACGGGAGGCAGCAGUGGGGAAUUUUGGACAAUGGGCGAAAGCCUGAUCCAGCCAUUCCGCGUGAGUGAAGAAGGCCUUCGGGUUGUAAAGCUCUUUCGCAAGGGAAGAAAGAUUACUCUCUAACAUAGAGUGAUUAUGACGGUACCUUGAUAAGAAGCACCGGCUAACUACGUGCCAGCAGCCGCGGUAAUACGUAGGGUGCGAGCGUUAAUCGGAAUUACUGGGCGUAAAGCGUGCGCAGGCGGUUUUGUAAGUCAGAUGUGAAAUCCCCGAGCUCAACUUGGGAACUGCGUUUGAAACUACAAGACUAGAAUAUGUCAGAGGGGGGUAGAAUUCCACGUGUAGCAGUGAAAUGCGUAGAGAUGUGGAGGAAUACCAAUGGCGAAGGCAGCCCCCUGGGAUAAUAUUGACGCUCAUGCACGAAAGCGUGGGGAGCAAACAGGAUUAGAUACCCUGGUAGUCCACGCCCUAAACGAUGUCUACUAGUUGUUGGUGGAGUAAAAUCCAUGAGUAACGCAGCUAACGCGUGAAGUAGACCGCCUGGGGAGUACGAUCGCAAGAUUAAAACUCAAAUGAAUUGACGGGGGCCCGCACAAGCGGUGGAUUAUGUGGAUUAAUUCGAUGCAACGCGAAAAANCNUUACCUG